rnacentral:rRNA from 1 species
UACGUAGGGGGCAAGCGUUGUCCGGAAUCAUUGGGCGUAAAGAGCGCGUAGGCGGCCCAGUAAGUCCGCUCUGAAAGUCAGAGGCUCAACCUCUGAAUGCGGGUGGAUACUGCUGGGCUAGAGUCCGGAAGAGGCGAGUGGAAUUCCUGGUGUAGCGGUGAAAUGCGCAGAUAUCAGGAGGAACACCGGUGGCGAGGGCGGGUCUCUGGGCCGAUACUGACGCUGAGGAGCGAAAGCGUGGGGAGCAAACAGG